rnacentral:lncRNA from 1 species
UGCACACCUGCCAAUACAGUGUUCCCAGGCUGCCGGAUGUCUCGGGCCCAUCUCCUCAGAGCCGUGACCAGGACCAGGGAGGAAAACGGAGCCCUGUGUACCCCUAAUAGCUCAAAGAUAAGAAAGAAGGGGUGUCGUGGUAAGAACAAUAGGGAGAAUAUUAGAGCAGGUCCUGUUCAUCCUAAUGAAGAUGCAUCGUUGGCACUUGCCUCCCGCAUGGCUGGGAAAGAGCAGUGCAACCAAAAGGCCCCAUCCAGAUGGAGGAGCUCAGUAGAACAUCUGCCUUGCAUGUCUGUCACCUCCCUACCUCCUGCUGCUGUGUUAGCUGCCAGCCAUUAUAGCAGCUCCUGAGUCAAGGGCCCUCCUCUUGUAGUGUUUUCUUGGAGCUUUGACAGAUUAUCUACACUGUCAUUCCCAACAGCAUCGUGCCAUCUUUCUUAAAACUGCAGGAAGAUCCUGAUGGAAAUCUCAGUCCUUUAAAAAAAAAAAAAAAAAAACCCUCCAAAAUAAAUUCCAUUAAACUAUAGUUAUGCCUGCA